GAGUCCAGCUAUUGACCCGUGUGAUUGUGACAAGUUAGACUUUGAAGCUGCCCGAAGUAUAAAUAAAGGGAGUUUGAACAGAUUUGUCCAAGAUCGCACCAUCAUUGCAGCUCUGAAUGACCGCUUAGUCAAGCUUAUUGAACUGGUAAUGAUCUAAUCAUUUUUAAAUUAAACUGUAAUGGCCUGUAUAGGCUAUUGUACCUGUCUUUCGUAACAUUUGCUGUUUGUCCUCUUUAGGCUCAUUGUUUUGAGGAGGAAAAUGAGUGUCUUGAAAGUCAGAUUCAGGAUCUGGAGGACAGACUGGCGAGUAACGAAGUUUCCUUGGGCUCCACUGUGCCUGUGCCUGACUCUGGCUUGGAUGCGGUGGUGCAGAGGCUGCGCAAAGAAAGGGACGAGAUUCUCUGUGACUCUGAGGACUGCAGAAAACGCUGGAGCGUCUGAAGGGUGACUGUGAGAAAGUAACACAACAAAGGUUACUUGUCCAACAGGAGCGACAAUACGUCUCAGAGGACGUGGACGCUGUGACUGCCGCAUGUCUCGCGUUGAGGGAGCAAGUGGCUAUCUACGAAGAGCAGCUGGCCAACAUGGAGGGACAACACGAGACGGCAGUGGAGAGUCUGCUGAAGCCCGCUGAUGGGACCACAGGAGCAGUGGCAGCCAUUAAAUUUGGCACCCCUGACAUCGCUCCGGCCUUGGAUGUGAAAGAGUACCACUGCCAGCUGGCACAGAGCCUGCAGUAUGAAUGUGGAGUCUCAUCCUCCGCUGAUGAUGGAAAGCUACUGGAAGCUGGAGGAGCUGGUGGGUCAAUGGUCAAAAGCUCGCCGCAGAUAAAGGAUAUCGGUGAAAUGAAGGCGCUGGUUCCAGAGCUACAGAAGGAGCUUGCUGAGUUGCAGAAGUGCAAUGAAGAACUGGAGGAGCAGGUUGAAAUAAACAGGGAGUUAUACGCCGACGAGAUUGCAGAGCUGGAGUGCACUCUAGAUGAGAUGAGGCACCAGGAAGCAGAGCUGCAGUUCCAGAUGAAGGAGCAGUGUGAGGACUACAAGGAGCUGGUUAGGGAGAAGAUGGCCAGAGACAUGGAGAUCUGUGCCUACAGGACUCUGGUGGAGGAAGAAGAGCAGAGACUGUGAGCUGUGUUGAGCUGAGCUGGCUUGUACAUCGAGGCUUCAAUCCUACAUCCCACAUAUGGAUUACAAAAUCGUCACGAGAAAACUGACAUGAAACACAACUCCUAGCAGCUUUAGGUUAAUGCUUUAGUUAAUAUAGCCACAGUUGUGACAGAUUAACAUGCCAAGAUACUUAAGCUUGGUCAUUGAUCACUGGUACCAGCAGAUGACCCCUAAACAUACAGAGAAGUUGAAGUCUAGGUCUGCUUCAGUGUGGUGCCACGACUGUGUAUCCAACUAACGUCUGCUGGUGAUGUGUUCUUUAAGCGCUUUUAUCUACAUAGGCCCACUGAUACCACUCAUAAUAAGUUUUGUCCAUUUUUUGUUAAAGAGGUCGCACGCUGUGACAUUCUGAGCAGAUAAAGGCCGAGUUGCUCAGUGUGGUCACAGUGGCUAAGAUAGGGCUUGCUCCAUCAGUCAAAGAGGGCCUGAUUACGGCUCUUAACCCUUGGCCUCUCUGGUGUUAACCAACAAACUGACAGCUCUCUUUGCAGUAACAGCAAGUUUUCUUUGCACAUACAGUCAUAAAUUCAACUUACUCCAAGUGUUUGUUUUGUAAAUGGUUCAUGGAGCUCCAUUUCCUGAACAGGCACUUGGUACCCUCUCUCUCUUAGGUUCCUCCUUUCUCCCUCAAUUUGCGGUCGCUACAUAAGUUAUUGGGUGUACAUUAUGUUGUAAUGUUUUGCGCAUUUGUGACUUGAGUUUAGAUCAUGUCUUUGGCUUAGAAUGCUCUAGUUUUCUAACAUAAAAGUAAUAAAGCUUUACAG
rnacentral:lncRNA from 1 species